rnacentral:rRNA from 1 species
AUUGAACGCUGGCGGCAGGCCUAACACAUGCAAGUCGAACGGCAGCACAGAAGAGCUUGCUCUUUGGGUGGCGAGUGGCGGACGGGUGAGUAAUGUCUGGGAAACUGCCCGAUGGAGGGGGAUAACUACUGGAAACGGUAGCUAAUACCGCAUAACGUCGCAAGACCAAAGUGGGGGACCUUCGGGCCUCACACCAUCGGAUGUGCCCAGAUGGCAUUAGCUAGUAGGUGGGGUAAUGGCUCACCUAGGCGACGAUCCCUAGCUGGUCUGAGAGGAUGACCAGCCACACUGGGACUGAGACACGGUCCAGACUCCCACGGGAGGCAGCAGUGGGGAAUAUUGCACAAUGGGCGCAAGCCUGAUGCAGCCAUGCCGCGUGUAUGAAGAAGGCCUUCGGGUUGUAAAGUACUUUCAGCGGGGAGGAAGGCGGUGAGGUUAAUAACCUCGCCGAUUGACGUUACCCGCAGAAGAAGCACCGGCUAACUCCGUGCCAGCCGCCGCCGUAAGAC